UACAUUUUAGUAUAGGAGGUACAGAAGUUUUUGAUAUUUCAGGAGCUAGUUUAAGUCUAGCAGGUGUAA
rnacentral:tRNA from 1 species